rnacentral:tRNA from 1 species
GAAAAAUUAGUUAAAAAAUAACAUUAAUAUGUCACAUUAAAAUCAUUAAACCAUUUAAUUAAUAUUUUUCU